rnacentral:rRNA from 1 species
UACAGAGGUGGCAAGCGUUGUUCGGAAUUACUGGGCGUAAAGCGCGUGUAGGCGGCUCUUCAAGUCAGGCGUGAAAGCCCCGGGCUCAACUCGGGAACUGCGCUUGUUACUGUCGAGCUAGAGUGUGGAAGGGGCGAUUGGAAUUCCGUGUGUAGCGGUGAAAUGCGUAGAUAUACGGAGGAACACCAGAGGCGAAGGCGGAUCGCUGGGCCAACACUGACGCUGAGACGCGAAAGCUAGGGUAGCAAACGGG